rnacentral:lncRNA from 1 species
CUUCCCCUGAUUCCCCAUUGGCCCGCGCGUGCAGUUUGAAUUUUUUUUUUGUUGUUUUGUUUUUGGUUGCUUGUUUUCUUGUUAAAAAAAAAAAAAAAAAACAGUACCGUAGAUCAUGUGAUGAGACUUACUUGGGCAGCCUGAGGUAGGGUGCUUUAGCUGGUUUGGUUGAAGGCGGUAGGGAGCAGGAUGGGCGGAGCUUUCUGUUCCAAAAGUUACACCCCCCCACCCCCCCGCCCCGCAAGUGCCGUUGACAGAGUGCAGGCGGGAAGCUUCGGCUGGGGUAGAGAUGUAGCAUCAAACAUUCAUGGAUGUCCAGGGAGCGCGGGCCCAUAGGAUGCUGGCCAGAGGUACUAGGAAGGCGCAGGAGCCGGACGAGGAUGCAUCUUCUUUCCCUGCCUUGGAAAGAAUCUGUCACCAUCAGCGGGAGCCAUGCUUGCUGUGUUUUUAUGGACUGCCUGUCCUCUCCACUCUUUGCUUUGUGCCCACACCCAGCAGCUCUGGAGAUCCCUCCUCAGCUUCGGCCUGCAUUGUGGACCUGGAUGAGUUGGAAGUCUAGUUUUAGGCAACGCCUGUCUCAACUCAAGAUUCACAUUUCUGGUUUCUCUCUGCCACUAUCAGAACUCCUGAGUGGCCCUGACAUUGCCUUUUUUUUCUCCACUGGGUUCUGGCCUGCCUGGAAUUUCAUUUUAGACCUUCAUGACAUGCGUUAAAACCAUGCACUGCCAACACCUCUUCUUGUCUGUAAGCAGAAUUCAAGCAUUGUACCACGUGCUCACUAGAGCGCCUUUGUUAAAUUAAGUAGGGUCAUUGGCAUCGAGGGGAAAUAAAAUGCCGAGAGGAGGCCA